GACGAACGCUGGCGGCGUGCUUAACACAUGCAAGUCGAGCGGAAAGGCCACUUCGGUGGUACUCGAGCGGCGAACGGGUGAGUAACACGUGAGUAAUCUGCCCCUCACUUCGGGAUAGCCACCGGAAACGGUGAUUAAUACCGGAUAUGACCAUAUGUCGCAUGGCGUGUGGUGGAAAGUUUUUCGGUGAGGGAUGUGCUCGCGGCCUAUCAGCUUGAUGGUGAGGUAAUGGCUCACCAUGGCUUCGACGGGUAGCCGGCCUGAGAGGGUGACCGGUCACACUGGGACUGAGACACGGCCCAGACUCCUACGGGAGGCAGCAGUGGGGAAUAUUGGACAAUGGGCGGAAGCCUGAUCCAGCAACGCCGCGUGAGGGAUGACGGCCUUCGGGUUGUAAACCUCUUUCAGUACCGACGAAGCGCAAGUGACGGUAGGUACAGAAGAAGCACCGGCCAACUACGUG
rnacentral:rRNA from 1 species